rnacentral:tRNA from 1 species
GUCACACCAGCUCAGUUGGUAGAGCAUGGCGGUUGCAACGCCAGGGUUGUGGGUUCGAUUCCCAUGGGGGGCC